AGUGAACGCUGGCGGUAGGCCUAAUACAUGCAAGUCGAACGGCAGCACAGUAAGAGCUUGCUCUUACGGGUGGCGAGUGGCGGAUGGGUGAGGAAUACAUCGGAAUCUACUUUUUCGUGGGGGAUAACGUAGGGAAACUCACGCUAAUACCGCAUACGACCUACGGGUGAAAGCAGGGGAUCUUCGGACCUUGCGCGAUUGAAUGAGCCGAUGUCGGCUUAGCUAGUUGGCGGGGAAAUGGCCCACCAAGGCGACGAUCCGUAGCUGGUCUGAGAGGAUGAGCGUACACACUGGAACUGAGACACGGUCCAGACUGCUACGGGAGGCAGCAGUGGAGAAUAUUGGGCAAUGGGCGCAAGCCUGAUCCAGCCAUGCCGCGUGAGUGAAGAAGGCCUUCGGGUUGUAAAGCACUUUUGUUUGGAAAGAAAAGCAGCAGGUUAAUACCCCGCUGUUCUGACGGUACCCAAAGAAUAAGCACCGGCUAACUUCGUG
rnacentral:rRNA from 1 species